rnacentral:rRNA from 1 species
UACGUAGGGUGCGAGCGUUUGUCCGGAAUUAUUGGGCGUAAAGAGCUUGUAGGCGGUUUGUCGCGUCUGCUGUGAAAAUCCGGGGCGUCAACCCCGGACUUGCAGUGGGUACGGGCAGACUAGAGUGUGGUAGGGGAGACUGGAAUUCCUGGUGUAGCGGUGGAAUGCGCAGAUAUCAGGAGGAACACCGAUGGCGAAGGCAGGUCUCUGGGCCACUACUGACGCUGAGAAGCGAAAGCAUGGGGAGCGAACAGG